AACCUUGACGAUGACGACAUGGUGGCAUACCUGCUUGCAUGACUUGACAUCGAGUACACCCCUUUGGUUACCUCUGUUACUACUGACCUUAGUCGUAAUGGUAAGGUUUCCGUGAGUGAUCUUUACUCGCAGAUGGUGAGCUUCGACG
rfam:Brachypodium distachyon strain Bd21 chromosome 4, whole genome shotgun sequence.